UUCCCCUCCACAACCCCGCCCCCAGCCCCAUGACAACUGCAUGGCCUCUCCCUUUCGUGCUCAGGAUAUUUGAUAAAGUGGCUCAAUAGCAGGGGACUACACUUGCUUGUGUCACAGAGGCUUGGUUUGGCCGCCAUAUCUCUGCAUGAGACCCUUAGGAUCGAAAGGACUGGAGGGCUACCUGGCACCCAUGGGCGAGCCCCCUGCAUGCCUGGUGGCGGCCGGCCAGCUCCGGGGCCUUCUGAGGCCACAGGCCGUCGCUUGGUCCAGACCGUUGCCUUUCCACUCGUUGGAACUGGCUGAACCGCACGUCCCUGCUGGGCAGGUCCCUGGAGGGCUGAGAGCUGGCGCUCACUCGCUGCUCGGCCCUGACGGUCCCCCUGCUAUGGCGCAGGUACCUGGGCUGGGCCCUCCCUCCUGGGUCCGAGCGGGCUGGGGUUGGCGUUCAGCUUUCUCGCCUGUGCUCUCUGGUUAAGGCCGCUCGUUCAGAGGGAUAAGGACAUGGACUUACUUUUCCCUUUCAGACAAGAGGCUUCAUCUUUCCGCAGACUACACAAUAGAGGGAAAGAAACCAAAGCACAGACACAAACCGAUCCAUUUGCACAAGUGAACUUACUCUCGGGACUAGAUUCUAGUUCUUGGCACCACAUUCUUCUGAAAUGGUCUUGGAGCAGCAUGGCAGACAAUCUACUGAACCCGUUUCCCCAAAAAAGAGAUGACAUUCAGCUGCGAGGAGACAGACUCUGCGGUCGCACUUAGUAAGGGAAGCACAUCGCGAGCUUCCACCUAAGUCUGGACGGAGAAAGAGCAAGAGAAUUUGCACACAGUCCACUGGUUUUUGACAAAUGCAUAGCUGUGUGGCUCCUAUACAAUCACCUUGCAGAGUCCAUCAUCCUCCUGACGUCCUGAUGCAUCCCCCUGGAGUCAGUCUCUCCUACUCCACUCCAACAACUGCUCAUCUGACCUUCAUCCCUAUGUUCUUCCAGAGCGUCACAUAAAUGGCAUCAGCCCGUAGCCUCUUGGUCGGGCGCCUUCCACUUAGCGUGAUGCGUCGGAGCUGCAUCCACCCCUUGUCAGUGCUGAGAGGUACUCCGCUGUGUACAAGGACAGCACCACCGAUGGAUAUUUGGAUUUUUCCUUAUUUCGACUCUGUAGACAAAGCACAGGAGACUCAAUUAUGAGUAAAAAUAGAAGGUGGCGGUACCAACCUUAACAAGGUGAAGCGUCGCUGUCAGCGUCGGAGGCGGCGGCGAGG